UACGGGGGGGGCAAGCGUUGUUCGGAAUUACUGGGCGUAAAGGGCUCGUAGGCGGCCAACUAAGUCAGACGUGAAAUCCCUCGGCUUAACCGGGGAACUGCGUCUGAUACUGGAUGGCUAGAGUUUGGGAGAGGGAUGCGGAAUUCCAGGUGUAGCGGUGAAAUGCGUAGAUAUCGGGAGGAACAUCAGUGGCGAAGGCGGCCUUCUGGUCCAGUACUGACACUCAAGUGCGAAAGCGUGGGGAGCAAACAGG
rnacentral:rRNA from 1 species